rnacentral:rRNA from 1 species
UACGAAGGGUGCAAGCGUUACUCGGAAUUACUGGGCGUAAAGCGUGCGUAGGUGGUUCGUUAAGUCUGUCGUGAAAGCCCCGGGCUCAACCUGGGAAUGGCGAUGGAUACUGGCGGGCUAGAGUGCGGUAGAGGAGAGUGGAAUUCCUGGUGUAGCGGUGAAAUGCGCAGAUAUCAGGAGGAACACCGAUGGCGAAGGCAGGUCUCUGGGCCACUACUGACGCUGAGAAGCGAAAGCAUGGGGAGCGAACAGG